rnacentral:rRNA from 1 species
CAUGGUUGUCGUCAGCUCGUGCCGUCGAGGUGUCGGCUUAAGUGCCAUAACGAGCGCAACCUCCAUCAUAGUUUACCAUCAGUAGGGCUGGGGACUCUAAUGAGACUGCCAUCGUAAGAUGUGAGGAAGGUGGGGAUGACGUCAAAUCAGCACGGCCCUUACGUCCGGGGCGACACACGUGUUACAAUGGGUGGUACAAAGGGCAGCUACCUGGCGACAGGAUGCUAAUCUCGAAAACCGCUCUCAGUUCGGAUCGGAGUCUGCAACUCGACUCCGUGAAGCUGGAUUCGCUAGUAAUCGCGCAUCAGCCACGGCGCGGUGAAUACGUUCCCGGGCCUU